GGCGACCGCAAAAGGCAGGUGCCCAGCCACUAACUUCGGGCUCUGGGCCGAGGGCCGCUCCCCUGAGAAGAGGCCAGUUUGGAGGCCGCGGCAGGCAGCGUUUCCCGCCCUGCUGGUCUCCGGGGUGGCGCUCACUGCGAUCCCAGGAGGGUCGGCUAACAUCUUCCUUUUACAGACCAGGGAUUGAAGCAGGACAGACUGGGAGUUGCCGUUCCUCUCAUUCCUUCCCCAUCAGUCAGGGGUGCCUGAGAGAUGACGUCCACCCAGACGUAAAGCAGAUGGUUUUUCUAUGGGAAGCAAGGCCCGUGAGAACGUUCUUUCCUGGAACUCCCAAAUCAUGGACAUUAGUCAACAGACAUGCCACAGCCUACCCGGACAUACUAUGUUCAUGUAGAGUCAUGUAUUCAUCUCCAGCUGUAGAAAAGAAUAUAUCAAAGCCCAUGUUUCUACACUGACUACCAGAGUUAUUGUUCUGCCUCAGUGUAGACCAACAGCUUAACUCCACUUCAACCCCUAGCCUGGGGGACGUCCAUAGGCUGCGGGUGCAGCAAGGAAAAAAGGACAAAGAAAUAGCGUCUUGAGAACACUGGCUUGAGAUGGGAAGAAAUCAGGGCUGCAGGGCCGUAGGGGGAGGUGUGUGUCUGCUCCACUACACAGCAGCAGCGACGUAAGCAUCAGAAAUUACGCAGGAAGGUUACAGAGACACCCUCCCAUCCCCAUUUAAGACUGGAAAUAGGAUGAAGUUGAAGGGAAGGGGUGAGAGCAGAGCUGGGCCCCUUCCAGCCGUCACCACAGGCCUGGGGCUGCACCCCGGCGGGAGGCUGCUCACUGGGACCCCUGGGUUCUGACCAACAGGAGGGCAGCCCAGCCUGCCCCUAACUCCACAGGGCCAGUGGGCGCUGUCCAGCGGGGCCUCCACUGGGGGCUGCCACCUGGCUGGAGGAAACAGGGCGAGCUCUCAAAACUGUAAGUGCUCCCUCUCGAGCCCACCAGAGGCUUCCUAGGGUUUCAUGGUCUCCCUCGCAGGCCUCUCUGCUGUGUUUGCUAUCAUGACAGGGCCACUUACCGUUGCCCGCCAUGGUCCUUCGGGAGUUAAUGCCAGACAGCUGCCUCGGAGACACUGGCUCUCUGCUGAUGGAGCCAGGCUGGGGGGAGCCUGUCCCUGUGGGAAUGUAUAAAGGCCACCCAGGGGGACCAGCCAUCCUGCCUCAGAGUCCCCCUGAGGAGGAGCCAGCUGUCUGCUCCCUCCCUGAGUUGCGCAGUGGACCCAAGUCCACGUCCGGGUUGUGAUAACUAUUCAGCCGGCCAGCAAGGCUUUUGAAGCAAAACGGUCUAACUGGAGUUGGAGAAGGACAGCAUCCAGAAACACCAGUUCCGUAGGGGGUGAGCUGCAAGGAACAAGCAAGAAGCUCAUACACUAUGCAUCGCCAGGAGUUCCCAUCGUGGCACAGCGGAAAUGAAUCUGACUAGGAACCAUGAGGUUUCAGGUUCGAUCCCUGGCCUCAAUCAGCAGGUUAAGGAUCUGGCGUUGCCAUGAGUUGUGGUGAAGGUUGCAGACGCGGCUCGGAUCUGGUGGUGGUGUAGGCCAGCAGCUGUAGCUCCGAUUAGACCCCUAGCCUGGGAACCUCCAUAUGCCAUGGGUGUGGCCCUAAAGAGACCAAAAAAAAAAAAAAAAAAAAAAAAAAACAUCGCCAAAGAGGGUCACUGGGCCCUGAGCAUGUGCUCUCAACACCCCCACUCCACCCUUCUGCACAGCAUUGAAAGCUUCCUGGAGGAGAAGGCCCCUUACAGAGGCCUGAGGGGAGGGAAGUCUGUCUAAGCAAAACAUGGACAAAAUGUAUCUGCUGCAAAUUACAAGAAGCUGAUGAAAGAUCAAAGAAGAACUAACUAAAUGGAGACAUGUUAUCAUGUUCACGGACUGGAGGAUUCAACUUUUCCCCAAAUUAAUUUAAAGGUUUAAUGCAAUUCCUAUCAAAAUUCAAAAAAGAAUGUUGGCAGAAACAGGUAAGCUUAUUCUAAAAUUUAUACGGACAAGAGAGCAGGAGGUCUGGCUUGCGAGUGGCCACUUCUCUGUUGCGUGUGGGGAAAGAAUAAUUUUAAAGUGGGUGAUGUUGAGAAGGGCAAGAAGAUUCUUGUUGGGAAGUGUCCUCAGUGCUGUACCGUGGAGGAGGAAGGCAAGCACAAGACUGGCUCCAACCUCCAUGGUCUGGUUGGACUGAAGACGGGCCAGCCUCCUUGGAUUCACUCACCCGAGGAGAGGAGACGCUGGCGGAGACGUGGACAAUCCCGCAAAGGACCUCCCUGGAACAAAAAUGCUCUUUGCUGCCCUUAGGAAGCGGGGAGAAGGGAAGACGUGGUAGCUUAUCUCAAGAAAGCUCCUGAUGAGAACAGAGUGCCGUCGUGGCUCAGUGGUCACGAACCCAACUGGUAUCCAUGAGCAUGUGGGUUCAAGUCUUGGCCUUGCUCAGUGGGUUAAGGAACUGGCAUUGCCGGGAGCUGUGGUGUAGGUCGCAGACGCAGCUCGGAUCUGGCGUUGCUGUGGCUGUGGUGUAGGCCGGCAGCUACAGCUCUGAAUAGACCCCUUGCCUGGGUAUGGCCCUCAAGAAAAGACAAAACAAAACCCUGUAGGCGAUUGGUUUUAUAUAUAGAUUUCUAGAACUCGUUUUAUUAAUAUGUUUAAAUACUGAGAAGAUCCCUUUACGGUCUCAGAACAGAGCAAGAUUCACCUGCGUUUCAAGCUCUGUUCACUAACCUGUUAAGGCAAGAGUGGAGGAUAAAUUGACACCGUCCCCUGUAUCUUUUUGGUCUUAAUGAUGCUAAUUUCAUUAAAAGUUCUCUGUGUCUAAA
rnacentral:lncRNA from 1 species